rnacentral:rRNA from 1 species
AACGAACGCUGGCGGCAUGCCUAACACAUGCAAGUCGAACGAGACCUGCGGGUCGAGUGGCGCACGGGUGCGUAACGCGUGGGAACCUGCCCUUAGGGUCGGAAUAACUCCCCGAAAGGGGUGCUAAUACCGGAUAAUGUGUUCGGACCAAAGAAUUAUCGCCUUGGGAUGGGGCCGCGUUGGAUUAGCUAGUUGGUAGGGUAAAAGCCUACCAAGGCGACGAUCCAUAGCUGGUUUGAGAGACUGAUCAGCCACACUGGGACGGAGACACGGCCCAGACUCCUACGGGAGGCAGCAGUGGGGAAUAUUGGACAAUGGGCGAAAGCCUGAUCCAGCAAUGCCGCGUGAGUGAUGAAGUCCUUAGGGUUGUAAAGCUCUUUUACCCGGGAUGAUAAUGACAGUACCGGGAGAAUAAGCUCCGGCUAACUCCGUG